CAGCUGAAAACUUGCAGAUACUUCUAGUAGUUGCGUUAUUGUAGUUUUUCUGUGGGGAAACUGAGAGCUAUGUGUUUCAAGAUGAUUUCUGUAUGAACAUGUGGCUGGCAUAAACACCAGUUUGAUCAUUAAACUAGUGUUCAGUAUAUUAAAUAAUUCAAUCUUUAGCUCUUCACAUAUCUUAUAAUUAACACACUUAAGAUUUUCAUAUUCUGUUACUUUUUCUAUGGAGAAACCAGGCAGUGACUUUCAAUACAGCCAAACAAUAACAGCAAAAUUCACGUGUUUAAGACCUGAUGGGGUUGAAGUCUUAGCAGUUUCUGCAUCGCAAUUCGGUAGUCUUGGAUAUAACAAUAGAGAGGUUUUUCCUUUUGUUAAUUCUGAACUUCCAUUUCAAAGGUGGGAAUCAGCAAAUAAUACCUCCUAGUCCUUGUCUUCAGCGGGCUUUUGCAUGCUGAAGGUGCGCCUGUGGAUGUUGCUGUGGUUGAGCCGGGGUUGCUAAGCACUUCUGAAAAGCAUCUGCACUGAAACAUUCUGGAUUUCAUUGGGCAUGGUGUCUGGUGAUGACUGAAAUCUGCUGCUGAAGCAAAUUCUAGAGGAGGUUUCAGAGCUGUGACUAUGGCUUCUUUGCACAUAAAUGUUAUUGUGUGUUUGUUUGAACAUGGUAGGAUAUUUAAUGUAUUAUAGAAAUACAUUUUCUACAUCCAGACUCAGUGUCAGUAUCACCAUAGAACCUUUCUUCCCAACGUAUUUCCUUCAUUUGAGCCUUAAAAAUUAAACAAAAAACCCACAACAAAUCAAAACAAACAAACAAAAAAAGCACACCCCCAGACCUUGAGAAAAUGUAAUUUCCUGUGAAACAUGUACCCUACUGUCAUCUUCUGGGGGAAGAGAACAUUAUUGUAUCCACUGUUGUUGUAAGUGAAAUAUGGUGUACAGCAUGCUAAAUAACUGCUAAGUCAAAUGUCAGUGUGAACCCAGAAAUCCUCACUAGAGGAAAAAAUAAAUAUUUUUAUUUUCUCUAAAA